GGAAGCGUGGCCGAGUGGUUGAAGGCGCACGACUCGAAAUCGUGUGGGCUAGCAAUAGCCUCGGAGGUUCGAAUCCUCUCGCUUCCGCCA
rnacentral:tRNA from 1 species